CUUAAAUUGAAGAGUUUGAUCAUGGCUCAGAUUGAACGCUGGCGGCAGGCCUAACACAUGCAAGUCGAGCGGUAGCACA
rnacentral:rRNA from 1 species